UGAAACGGCGGUUCCCGUAUAAUGACUGAAGUUAAGCAAUCUCGAGCCUGGUCAGUACUUAGAUAGGUGAACACUUCGGAAUACCAAGUGCUGUAA